rnacentral:lncRNA from 1 species
UUUUGGAGAGCUGGACAUGUGGAGGCCGACAGGAAGGUGAAGAAGUCAUCUGCGUGCUGUGAGGGUGGCGCACCCCAACUCCAUGGGGACAGAAGGUCCUGCAUUUAGGACCCUUCCAGACCUCACACCUAUGUAUCUCUUCAUCUGGCUGAUUACUUAUAUCCUUUCAAAGACGCUUCUUAGUAAACUGUGCCUCCCUCACAUGGCCAGCGGAGAAGGGCCUUGCCCUACCUCUCAGACUGCAGCCCUGAGCCACUCCUUGGAGGUGAGGAGCACCAUUCACCUGAGCAGCUCCCCGCCCUGGUGUCUGAGAAAUAAAUCUGCCUUCAGUCAUACGGUUCUACCAAUCUGAGCACACGACCACCUGAUAGGGUACUGAGGAUGGCUUCUGACCUGGAGGCAUCAAGGACCUGAAGGCAGUAACCAUUUCAGAGGACAGCCACAUCCCUCAAAUUACAAACAUCUAAAAUGUCCAUUAACUGUUGAGUGGAUAUAUAAAUUCUGAUGUUUUAUAAAAUGGCAUACCCUACAUCAAUGAAGAUGAAUGAAUUACUUCUGCAUAAAACAAUAUACAUGCAUCUAACCAAUAUGACACUGAGUGAAAAAAGACAUCCAUAGAAGAGCACAGCUCACCAUUCAGGAGCAUAGAUGGGACCUUCAAAAAGUGCUUCUAGGCGAAGAAAAAUCACCACUGAAUUUGAAACAAAUAGAAUCUACACCUCUUGAAGGAGAAACUUCAAGUAUAAGAAACUUCUCUGAGAGGGUCUCUCCAGGAUGUAACCCUGAUGUCUGCUGGCUGCAUACUCACCUGGAGGCUUGAUUAGGGAGGAGUCCCGGUGAGUCUCACUGAGG